AUCCUUUUGUAGUUCAUAAGCAUAAAGAUUUGGUUUUCCUGAGCAUAAGUGAGAUGUGCCUCCUACAAAUCUUGUUACGAUGUUGGCACAUUACCCAUCUGACA